AUUAAACUAUAUAUGAUGAGAUCUCGAACCACCAAGAUCUAUGAAUGCCAUGAUUAGUCACAGUAUUUGCUAACUGAAUCGUAUAAAUGACAAUAUUACUUUACAAAGAUAAGAACAUUAUUAUUGUUAAAUAUAAAUCAUUUCAGGUUCAUAGACAAACAACGCUUGCGGAAGACAAUUAUAGUAAAAUGUUCAUAGACAAACAACGCUUGCGGAAGGCAAUUAUAGUAAAAUACGAUUGGGAUCUAAGGAUGAUGCUUAAAAGUUAACGCUUCGCAAGAGAGGUUAAUGAUCGUAGGAGGACGACGGAUACUUUUGGACUGAACUGAGAAUACGAAAAAGAAUAGCAUAAUAAUGUAGUAGUACGAUAUAGCAAUUCGAUAUAUGUUUAUUUUACAUAUGCUAAUAAAAACAUGGAUGAUAAA